CCUGAGAGUUUAUGCUAAUAAGGUGUCUCAGACUGUGGACUGGCCGUGUGAGAAAGACCAAUAGUGUGAAUAGAGGUAUGGGCUGUGAGUCAUGUGAUAUUCAGCCUGACCUCUAUUGAGGAGAGGAGGGUGUGGCCAAUGAUUUAAUCAAUCCUGGCUAAUGAAACUGCAAUAAAACUCUGGACACCAAAGCUUGGGUGGACUUCCCUGGUUGGCAAUACUUUGUGUAUUGUCACACAUCAGUGCUGAGAGGGUGACUUGUGCUAACAUCAGGGGGCAAGAACAUUGGAAGUUUUGUGUUUGGGACCCUCCCAGACUUCACCCUGUGUGUUUCUCCCUCUGGCUGGUUCUGACUUGCAUCCUUUGGCUAUGUGAAUCUCUAAUUACCAACCAUGAUAUAAUGGAGGAGCUCUACAAGGACAUGAAUACCAGUAGACAUGAGACCUCCUUGAGACUGGCUACCACAGAGAGCUCAAGUGACCUGGUCAUCAAGUGGAGAGACCGCACUUCACUCAAGGUACCUCUACGUAUAAGGAGAGGCCUUGGAGUGACAUUCAGAUAGGCUCAAGAUUUGAUAAUUCAUGUUUUGCCCACUUACUGAAAAAAUUUAAAAAUGCUGAUUAUUAUUAGGA